rnacentral:rRNA from 1 species
UACGUAGGGUGCGAGCGUUAAUCGGAAUUACUGGGCGUAAAGCGUGCGCAGGCGGUUCGUUAUGUCCGUUGUGAAAGCCCCGGGCUCAACCUGGGAAUGGCAAUGGAAACUGGCGGGCUUGAGUGUGGCAGAGGGGGGUGGAAUUCCGCGUGUAGCAGUGAAAUGCGUAGAGAUGCGGAGGAACACCGAUGGCGAAGGCAGCCCCCUGGGCCAACACUGACGCUCAGGCACGAAAGCGUGGGGAGCAAACAGG